rnacentral:rRNA from 1 species
GAUGAACGCUGGCGGCGUGCUUAACACAUGCAAGUCGAACGGUGAAGGCGGAGCUUGCUCUGCUGGAUCAGUGGCGAACGGGUGAGUAACACGUGAGCAAUCUGCCCCUGACUCUGGGAUAAGCGCUGGAAACGGCGUCUAAUACUGGAUACGAGCUGCGAAGGCAUCUUCAGCAGCUGGAAAGAACUUCGGUCAGGGAUGAGCUCGCGGCCUAUCAGCAUGUUGGUGAGGUAACGGCUCACCAAGGCGUCGACGGGUAGCCGGCCUGAGAGGGUGACCGGCCACACUGGGACUGAGACACGGCCCAGACUCCUACGGGAGGCAGCAGUGGGGAAUAUUGCACAAUGGGCGAAAGCCUGAUGCAGCAACGCCGCGUGAGGGACGACGGCCUUCGGGUUGUAAACCUCUUUUAGCAGGGAAGAAGCGAAAGUGACGGUACCUGCAGAAAAAGCGCCGGCUAACUACGUG